CAAGUUUAGCACUAUGUACCCAGGUUGCAUCGCGGAUUCCAACUUGUUCCGCAACCACAC
rnacentral:tRNA from 1 species